rnacentral:rRNA from 1 species
AACAAAUAUUAAAGGCAAUGCCUGCCCAGUGAAUAAUUAAACGGCCGCGGUACCCUAACCGUGCAAAGGUAGCAUAAUCACUUGUCUAUUAAUUGUAGACCUGUAUGAAAGGCAAAAUGAGGGUUUAACUGUCUCUUAUAAUUAAUCUAUUAAACUGAUCUCCCAGUAAAAAAGCUGGAAUACCACCAUAAGACCAGAAGACCCUGUGAAGCUUUAACUAAACUAUUAAACCAAAUAAUAAAUACUUUAGGUUGGGGCGACCUUGGAAAUAAAAAGAACUUCCAAAUCACUAAAUUUAUUAGGCUGACAAGCCAACUAACGACCCAGUUAAACUGAUAAUUGAACAAAGUUACUCCAGGGAUAACAGCGCUAUCUUCUUCAAGAGCCCAUAUCAAAAAGAAGGUUUACGACCUCGAUGUUGGAUCAGGACAUCCUAAUGGUGCAACCGCUAUUAAGGGUUCGUUUGUUCAACGAUUAACGUCCU